UACAGAGGGUGCGAGCGUUGUCCGGAAUCACUGGGCGUAAAGGGCGCGUAGGUGGUGGCUUAAGCGUGCGGUGAAAGCUCGGAGCUCAACUCCGAGUCGGCCGUGCGAACUGGGCUCACUGGAGCAUAGUAGAGGCAGGUGGAAUUCCGGGUGUAGCGGUGGAAUGCGUAGAGAUCCGGAAGAACACCGGUGGCGAAGGCGGCCUGCUGGGCUAUGGCCGACACUGAGGCGCGACAGCGUGGGGAGCAAACAGG
rnacentral:rRNA from 1 species